UACGUAGGGGCCUAGCGUUGUCCGGAUUUAUUGGGCGUAAAGAGCUCGUAGGCGGCUCGGUUAGUCGGAUGUGAAAUCUCCACGCUCAACGUGGAGGCGCCAUCCGAUACUGCCGUGGCUUGAGUCCGGUAGGGGAGUGUGGAAUUCCCGGUGUAGCGGUGAAAUGCGCAGAUAUCGGGAGGAACACCCGUAGCGAAGGCGGCACUCUGGGCCGGUACUGACGCUGAGGAGCGAAAGCUAGGGGAGCGAACGGG
rnacentral:rRNA from 1 species